rnacentral:rRNA from 1 species
AGAGUUUGAUCCUGGCUCAGAACAAACGCUGGCGGCGUGCCUAAUACAUGCAAGUCGAACGCAGUAGCAAUACUGAGUGGCGCACGGGUGAGUAACACGUGGAUAAUCUCCCUUUGAGUGGGGAAUAACCUUUCGAAAGAAGGGCUAAUACCGCAUAAGACCACAGGAACUUCGGUUCAAGGGGUCAAAGGGGGCGUAAG